GCCCAGGUAGCUCAGUUGGUAGAGCAUGCGAUUGAAAAUUGCAGUGUCACUGGUUCGAUUCCAGUCCUGGGCACCA
rnacentral:tRNA from 5 species